AUGAAAAAAUGGUUAUGCAUAUGGUUGUUGUAACCUUGGCUUUAGAGGUUUUUUUUUAAAAAAAAAAUGAAUUUUUUACUUUUCACCAAAAAGUAUUUCAUAAAUUACUUUUAACCCAAAACUAUUUGUUUCUUUUUUACUUUUAAUCCAAAACUUUUUAUCUUUUGCAAUUGAUCCUCACAACUUUUUUUACUUUCAACUUUGUUUCUUUAUAGUUUUCAUUUUCCGCAAAUUUUUCACUUUAUGUUUCGUUCUAAUUUUUGUGACUUAACACAUCGCAGCGUGCGUCUUUAGUUUAACGUUUUUACGUUUCGUUCUAAAUUUUGUGAGUUCACACGACGCAACGUGCGUGUGUGGGUGAACGUUUUUAAAUCGUCUAUUUUUAUCCCGUUCGACAGGUUCAACAUAUUGUGCAGGUCCUAAAUCGAGUUAGUUAUAACUAAAGAAUCCCCGCCGCAUUGCGGCGGGUCGUAAUUCUAGUUUCUUUUUAUUUUUCUACCCAAAGUUAAAUUAGAUUACUCACAGAAUUAGAAUCAGCAAAAAUAUGAGUAAUUAUUUUUUGUAAAAAAAUAAAAAAUGCUGCA
rnacentral:lncRNA from 1 species